CUGGGUCAUUGUCCUGUUAAAAAACACUAAGCGCAAACCAGAUGGGAUGGUGUAUCGCUGCAGAAUGUUGUGGUAGCCAUGCUGGUUAAGUGUGCCUUCAAUUCUAAAUAAAUCACUGACAGUGUCACCAGCUAAGCACCCCCACACCAUCACAUCUCCUCCUCCAUGCUUCACGGUGGGAACUACACAUGCAGAGAUCAUCAGUUCACCUACUCUGCGUCUCACAAAGACACAACAGUUGGAACCAAAAAUCUCACAUUUGGAGUCAUGAGACCAAAGGCCAGAUUUCUACCGUUCUAAUGUCUAUUGCUCGUGAUUUGUGGCCCAAGCAAGUCUCUUCUUAUUAUUGGUGUCCUUUAGUAGUGGUUUCUUUGCAGCAAAUCGACCAUAAAGGCCUGAUUCAUGCAGUCUCCUCUGAACAGUUGAUGUUGAGAUGUGUCUGUUACUUGAACUCUGUGAAGCAAUUAUUUGGGCUGCAAUUUCUGAGGCUGGUAACUCUAAUGAACUCAUCCUCUGCAGCAGAGGUAACUCUGGGUCUUCCUUUCCUUUUCAUCAUAGCGCUUGAUGGUUUUUGAGACUACUUGAAGACUGCACAUUGACUGACCUUCAUGUCUUAAAGUAAUGAUGGACUGUCGUUUCCUUUUGCUUAUUUGAGCUGUUCUUGCCAUAAUAUAGACUUGGUAUUUUACCAAAUAGGGCUAUCUUCUGUAAACCCGCCCUACCUUGUCACACAAUUUGAUUGGCUCAAAUGCAUUAAGAAGGAAAGAAAUUCCACAAAUUAACUUUUAACAAGGCACAUCUGUUAAUUUAAAUGCAUUCCAGGUGACUUCCUCAUGAAGCUGUUUGAGAGAAUGCUAAGAGUGUGCAAAGCUGUCAUCAAGGCAAAGGGUGGCUACUUUGAAGAAUCUCAAAUAAAAAAUCUAUUUUGAUUUGUUUAACACUUUUUUGGUUACUACAUGAUUCCAUGUGUGCAUUCUUAGUUUCGGUGUCUUCACUAUUAUUCUACAAUGUAGAAAAUAGUAAAAAUAAAGAAAAACCCUGGAAUUAGUAGGUGUGUCUUUUGACUGAUACUGCAGAUAUAUCAGGCCUACAUCCCUUUCCCUCUGUUCUUAGUCUCUGUC
ensembl:lncRNA